AAUGGGGAAACCCAGUGUGACUCGUCACACUAUCAUUAACUGAAUCCAUAGGUUAAUGAGGCGAACCGGGGGAACUGAAACAUCUAAGUACCCCGAGGAAAAGAAAUCAACCGAGAUUCCCCCAGUAGCGGCGAGCGAACGGGGAGGAGCCCAGAGCCUGAAUCAGCAUGUGUGUUAGUGGAAGCGUCUGGAAAGGCGCGCGAUACAGGGUGACAGCCCCGUACACAAAAGCGCAUGUGCUGUGAGCUCGAUGAGUAGGGCGGGACACGUGGUAUCCUGUCUGAAUAUGGGGGGACCAUCCUCCAAGGCUAAAUACUCCUGACUGACCGAUAGUGAACCAGUACCGUGAGGGAAAGGCGAAAAGAACCCCGGCGAGGGGAGUGAAAAAGAACCUGAAACCGUGUACGUACAAGCAGUGGGAGCCCCACCACCAAAGCAUUUGCUGUACCGCGUUGACGGAGCGAAGCGACGUCAAACCGAUAAAACAGCAGUGUAAAGUGAGCCGCAGGGCGCUUUGCGCGACAGCGCAAAGGCAGGCGGUUUCGCGUAGCGAAAGCGAAUGCUUUGGGGUGGGGUGACUGCGUACCUUUUGUAUAAUGGGUCAGCGACUUAUAUUCUGUAGCAAGGUUAACCGAAUAGGGGAGCCGGAGGGAAACCGAGUCUUAAUUGGGCGUUAAGUUGCAGGGUAUAGACCCGAAACCCGGUGAUCUAGCCAUGGGCAGGUUGAAGGUUGGGUAACACUAACUGGAGGACCGAACCGACUAAUGUUGAAAAAUUAGCGGAUGACCUGUGGCUGGGGGUGAAAGGCCAAUCAAACCGGGAGAUAGCUGGUUCUCCCCGAAAGCUAUUUAGGUAGCGCCUCGUGAAUUCAUCUCCGGGGGUAGAGCACUGUUUCGGCUAGGGGGCCAUCCCGGCUUACCAACCCGAUGCAAACUGCGAAUACCGGAGAAUGUUAUCACGGGAGACACACGGCGGGUGCUAACGUCCGUCGUGAAGAGGGAAACAACCCAGACCGCCAGCUAAGGUCCCAAAGUCAUGGUUAAGUGGGAAACGAUGUGGGAAGGCCCAGACAGCCAGGAUGUUGGCUUAGAAGCAGCCAUCAUUUAAAGAAAGCGUAAUAGCUCACUGGUCGAGUCGGCCUGCGCGGAAGAUGUAACGGGGCUAAACCAUGCACCGAAGCUGCGGCAGCGACACUGUGUGUUGUUGGGUAGGGGAGCGUUCUGUAAGCCUGUGAAGGUGUGUCGUGAGGCAUGCUGGAGGUAUCAGAAGUGCGAAUGCUGACAUAAGUAACGAUAAAGCGGGUGAAAAGCCCGCUCGCCGGAAGACCAAGGGUUCCUGUCCAACGUUAAUCGGGGCAGGGUGAGUCGACCCCUAAGGCGAGGCCGAAAGGCGUAGUCGAUGGGAAACGGGUUAAUAUUCCCGUACUUGGUGUUACUGCGAAGGGGGGACGGAGAAGGCUAUGUUGGCCGGG
rnacentral:rRNA from 1 species